UUAAGCGACUAAGCGUACACGGUGGAUGCCCUGGCAGUCAGAGGCGAUGAAGGACGUGCUAAUCUGCGAUAAGCGUCGGUGAGGUGAUAUGAACCGUUAUAACCGGCGAUUUCCGAAUGGGGAAACCCAGUGUGUUUCGACACACUAUCAUUAACUGAAUCCAUAGGUUAAUGAGGCGAACCGGGGGAACUGAAACAUCUAAGUACCCCGAGGAAAAGAAAUCAACCGAGAUUCCCCCAGUAGCGGCGAGCGAACGGGGAGGAGCCCAGAGCCUGAAUCAGUGUGUGUGUUAGUGGAAGCGUCUGGAAAGGCGUGCGAUACAGGGUGACAGCCCCGUACACAAAAAUGCACAUAUUGUGAGCUCGAUGAGUAGGGCGGGACACGUGGUAUCCUGUCUGAAUAUGGGGGGACCAUCCUCCAAGGCUAAAUACUCCUGACUGACCGAUAGUGAACCAGUACCGUGAGGGAAAGGCGAAAAGAACCCCGGCGAGGGGAGUGAAAAAGAACCUGAAACCGUGUACGUACAAGCAGUGGGAGCCUCUUAAUGGGGUGACUGCGUACCUUUUGUAUAAUGGGUCAGCGACUUAUAUUCUGUAGCAAGGUUAACCGAAUAGGGGAGCCGAAGGGAAACCGAGUCUUAACUGGGCGUUAAGUUGCAGGGUAUAGACCCGAAACCCGGUGAUCUAGCCAUGGGCAGGUUGAAGGUUGGGUAACACUAACUGGAGGACCGAACCGACUAAUGUUGAAAAAUUAGCGGAUGACUUGUGGCUGGGGGUGAAAGGCCAAUCAAACCGGGAGAUAGCUGGUUCUCCCCGAAAGCUAUUUAGGUAGCGCCUCGUGAAUUCAUCUCCGGGGGUAGAGCACUGUUUCGGCAAGGGGGUCAUCCCGACUUACCAACCCGAUGCAAACUGCGAAUACCGGAGAAUGUUAUCACGGGAGACACACGGCGGGUGCUAACGUCCGUCGUGAAGAGGGAAACAACCCAGACCGCCAGCUAAGGUCCCAAAGUCAUGGUUAAGUGGGAAACGAUGUGGGAAGGCCCAGACAGCCAGGAUGUUGGCUUAGAAGCAGCCAUCAUUUAAAGAAAGCGUAAUAGCUCACUGGUCGAGUCGGCCUGCGCGGAAGAUGUAACGGGGCUAAACCAUGCACCGAAGCUGCGGCAGCGACACUAUGUGUUGUUGGGUAGGGGAGCGUUCUGUAAGCCUGUGAAGGUGGCCUGUGAGGGUGCUGGAGGUAUCAGAAGUGCGAAUGCUGACAUAAGUAACGAUAAAGCGGGUGAAAAGCCCGCUCGCCGGAAGACCAAGGGUUCCUGUCCAACGUUAAUCGGGGCAGGGUGAGUCGACCCCUAAGGCGAGGCCGAAAGGCGUAGUCGAUGGGAAACAGGUUAAUAUUCCUGUACUUGGUGUUACUGCGAAGGGGGGACGGAGAAGGCUAUGUUGGCCGGGCGACGGUUGUCCCGGUUUAAGCGUGUAGGCUGGUUUUCCAGGCAAAUCCGGAAAACCAAGGCUGAGGCGUGAUGACGAGGCACUACGGUGCUGAAGUGACAAAUGCCCUGCUUCCAGGAAAAGCCUCUAAGCAUCAGGUAACAUCAAAUCGUACCCCAAACCGACACAGGUGGUCAGGUAGAGAAUACCAAGGCGCUUGAGAGAACUCGGGUGAAGGAACUAGGCAAAAUGGUGCCGUAACUUCGGGAGAAGGCACGCUGAUAUGUAGGUGAAGCGACUUGCUCGUGGAGCUGAAAUCAGUCGAAGAUACCAGCUGGCUGCAACUGUUUAUUAAAAACACAGCACUGUGCAAACACGAAAGUGGACGUAUACGGUGUGACGCCUGCCCGGUGCCGGAAGGUUAAUUGAUGGGGUUAGCGGUAACGCGAAGCUCUUGAUCGAAGCCCCGGUAAACGGCGGCCGUAACUAUAACGGUCCUAAGGUAGCGAAAUUCCUUGUCGGGUAAGUUCCGACCUGCACGAAUGGCGUAAUGAUGGCCAGGCUGUCUCCACCCGAGACUCAGUGAAAUUGAACUCGCUGUGAAGAUGCAGUGUACCCGCGGCAAGACGGAAAGACCCCGUGAACCUUUACUAUAGCUUGACACUGAACAUUGAGCCUUGAUGUGUAGGAUAGGUGGGAGGCUUUGAAGUGUGGACGCCAGUCUGCAUGGAGCCGACCUUGAAAUACCACCCUUUAAUGUUUGAUGUUCUAACGUUGGCCCGUAAUCCGGGUUGCGGACAGUGUCUGGUGGGUAGUUUGACUGGGGCGGUCUCCUCCUAAAGAGUAACGGAGGAGCACGAAGGUUGGCUAAUCCUGGUCGGACAUCAGGAGGUUAGUGCAAUGGCAUAAGCCAGCUUGACUGCGAGCGUGACGGCGCGAGCAGGUGCGAAAGCAGGUCAUAGUGAUCCGGUGGUUCUGAAUGGAAGGGCCAUCGCUCAACGGAUAAAAGGUACUCCGGGGAUAACAGGCUGAUACCGCCCAAGAGUUCAUAUCGACGGCGGUGUUUGGCACCUCGAUGUCGGCUCAUCACAUCCUGGGGCUGAAGUAGGUCCCAAGGGUAUGGCUGUUCGCCAUUUAAAGUGGUACGCGAGCUGGGUUUAGAACGUCGUGAGACAGUUCGGUCCCUAUCUGCCGUGGGCGCUGGAGAACUGAGGGGGGCUGCUCCUAGUACGAGAGGACCGGAGUGGACGCAUCACUGGUGUUCGGGUUGUCAUGCCAAUGGCACUGCCCGGUAGCUAAAUGCGGAAGAGAUAAGUGCUGAAAGCAUCUAAGCACGAAACUUGCCCCGAGAUGAGUUCUCCCUGAGACUUAGAGUCUCCUGAAGGAACGUUGAAGACGACGACGUUGAUAGGCCGGGUGUGUAAGCGCAGCGAUGCGUUGAGCUAACCGGUACUAAUGAACCGUGAGGCUUAACCUU
rnacentral:rRNA from 1 species